rnacentral:rRNA from 1 species
UACGUAGGGUGCAAGCGUUGUCCGGAAUUAUUGGGCGUAAAGGGCUCGUAGGCGGUCCAUCACGUCGGGAGUGAAAAGCUGGGGCUUAACCCCAGUCCUGCUUCCGAUACGGGUGGACUAGAGGUAGGCAGGGGAGAACGGAAUUCCGUGGUGUAGCGGUGAAAUGCGCAGAUAUCAGGAGGAACACCGGUGGCGAAGGCGGUUCUCUGGGCCUUACCUGACGCUGAGGAGCGAAAGCAUGGGGAGCAAACAGG